rnacentral:pre_miRNA from 1 species
AUAUAUAUAUAUAUAUACCAACCCUCAUCCCAUACUCAUGGAAAAAUGGAAUGUGAUAAGGUGCUUGAAUUAUACUUGAAAUAUUG